rnacentral:rRNA from 1 species
AAAUUGAAGAGUUUGAUCAUGGCUCAGAUUGAACGCUGGCGGCAGGCCUAACACAUGCAAGUCGAACGGUAACAGGAAGCAGCUUGCUGCUUUGCUGACGAGUGGCGGACGGGUGAGUAAUGUCUGGGAAACUGCCUGAUGGAGGGGGAUAACUACUGGAAACGGUGGCUAAUACCGCAUAACGUCGCAAGACCAAAGAGGGGGACCUUCGGGCCUCUUGCCAUCAGAUGUGCCCAGAUGGGAUUAGCUGGUUGGUGAGGUAACGGCUCACCAAGGCGACGAUCCCUAGCUGGUCUGAGAGGAUGACCAGCCACACUGGAACUGAGACACGGUCCAGACUCCUACGGGAGGCAGCAGUGGGGAAUAUUGCACAAUGGGCGCAAGCCUGAUGCAGCCAUGCCGCGUGUAUGAAGAAGGCCUUCGGGUUGUAAAGUACUUUCAGCGGGGAGGAAGGUGUUGUGGUUAAUAACCGCAGCAAUUGACGUUACCCGCAGAAGAAGCACCGGCUAACUCCGUGCCAGCAGCCGCGGUAAUACGGAGGGUGCAAGCGUUAAUCGGAAUUACUGGGCGUAAAGCGCACGCAGGCGGUCUGUCAAGUCGGAUGUGAAAUCCCCGGGCUCAACCUGGGAACUGCAUUCGAAACUGGCAGGCUUGAGUCUUGUAGAGGGGGGUAGAAUUCCAGGUGUAGCGGUGAAAUGCGUAGAGAUCUGGAGGAAUACCGGUGGCGAAGGCGGCCCCCUGGACAAAGACUGACGCUCAGGUGCGAAAGCGUGGGGAGCAAACAGGAUUAGAUACCCUGGUAGUCCACGCCGUAAACGAUGUCUACUUGGAGGUUGUGCCCUUGAGGCGUGGCUUCCGGAGCUAACGCGUUAAGUAGACCGCCUGGGGAGUACGGCCGCAAGGUUAAAACUCAAAUGAAUUGACGGGGGCCCGCACAAGCGGUGGAGCAUGUGGUUUAAUUCGAUGCAACGCGAAGAACCUUACCUGGUCUUGACAUCCACGGAAGUUUUCAGAGAUGAGAAUGUGCCUUCGGGAACCGUGAGACAGGUGCUGCAUGGCUGUCGUCAGCUCGUGUUGUGAAAUGUUGGGUUAAGUCCCGCAACGAGCGCAACCCUUAUCCUUUGUUGCCAGCGGUUAGGCCGGGAACUCAAAGGAGACUGCCAGUGAUAAACUGGAGGAAGGUGGGGAUGACGUCAAGUCAUCAUGGCCCUUACGACCAGGGCUACACACGUGCUACAAUGGCGCAUACAAAGAGAAGCGACCUCGCGAGAGCAAGCGGACCUCAUAAAGUGCGUCGUAGUCCGGAUUGGAGUCUGCAACUCGACUCCAUGAAGUCGGAAUCGCUAGUAAUCGUGGAUCAGAAUGCCACGGUGAAUACGUUCCCGGGCCUUGUACACACCGCCCGUCACACCAUGGGAGUGGGUUGCAAAAGAAGUAGGUAGCUUAACCUUCGGGAGGGCGCUUACCACUUUGUGAUUCAUGACUGGGGUGAAGUCGUAACAAGGUAACCGUAGGGGAACCUGCGGUUGGAUCACCUCCUUACCUUAAAGAA